AUUGAACGCUGGCGGCAUGCUUUACACAUGCAGGUCGAACGGUAACAGGGUGCUUGCACCGCUGACGAGUGGCGAACGGGUGAGUAAUGCGUCGGAACGUGCCGAGUAGUGGGGGAUAACGCAGCGAAAGUUGUGCUAAUACCGCAUACGUACUGAGGUAGAAAGUGGGGGACCUUCGGGCCUCACGCUAUUCGAGCGGCCGACGUCUGAUUAGCUAGUAGGUGAGGUAAAGGCUCACCUAGGCGACGAUCAGUAGCGGGUCUGAGAGGAUGACCCGCCACACUGGGACUGAGACACGGCCCAGACUCCUACGGGAGGCAGCAGUGGGGAAUUUUGGACAAUGGGCGAAAGCCUGAUCCAGCCAUGCCGCGUGUCUGAAGAAGGCCUUCGGGUUGUAAAGGACUUUUGUCAGGGAGGAAAUCCCUAGUGCUAAUAACACUGGGGGAUGACAGUACCUGAAGAAUAAGCACCGGCUAACUACGUGCCAGCCGCCGCAGUAA
rnacentral:rRNA from 1 species